AACGAACGCUGGCGGCAGGCUUAACACAUGCAAGUCGAACGCACCGCAAGGUGAGUGGCAGACGGGUGAGUAACACGUGGGGAUCUGCCCAAUGGUACGGAAUAGCUCCGGGAAACUGGAAUUAAUACCGUAUGAGCCCGCAAGGGGAAAGAUUUAUCGCCAUUGGAUGAACCCGCGUCGGAUUAGCUAGUUGGUGUGGUAAAGGCGAACCAAGGCGACGAUCCGUAGCUGGUCUGAGAGGAUGAUCAGCCACACUGGGGCUGAGACACGGCCCAGACUCCUACGGGAGGCAGCAGUGGGGAAUAUUGGACAAUGGGCGCAAGCCUGAUCCAGCCAUGCCGCGUGAGUGAUGAAGGCCUUAGGGUUGUAAAGCUCUUUCGCCGACGAAGAUAAUGACGGUAGUCGGAGAAGAAGCCCCGGCUAACUUCGUGCCAGCCGCCGCGGUAAUAC
rnacentral:rRNA from 1 species